UACGUAGGGUGCAAGCGUUGUCCGGAAUUAUUGGGCGUAAAGAGCUCGUAGGCGGUUUGUCGCGUCGGCUGUGAAAACCUGGGGCUCAACCCCGGGCUUGUAGCCGAUACGGGCAAACUAGAAUUCGGUAGGGGAGACUGGAAUUCCUGGUGUAGCGGUGAAAUGCGCAGAUAUCAGGAGGAACACCGGUGGCGAAGGCGGGUCUCUGGGCCGACACUGACGCUCAUGCACGAAAGCGUGGGGAGCAAACAGG
rnacentral:rRNA from 1 species